CGAGUAAUCCUGACGGUCGCGUACCGGCUCGACUGGUAUGAGGAAAGUCCGGGCUGCAUAGGGUAAGGAUAGCAGAUAACGUCUGCCGAAGGCAACUUCAGGAAUAGUGCAACAGAGAUAUACCGCCAGAGUUUGUGCUCUGGUAAGGGUGGAAAGGCGAGGUAAGAGCUCACCACGCCCCAUGGUAACAUGGGGGGUCUGUAAACUCUAUCCGCAGCAACAUCGACAGGAGCUAUGACUGACCCGGUCGCUCCGACUGAUGGCUUGAGGCGUGCGGCGACGUGCGUCCCAGAUAGAUGAUCGUCCACGACAGAACCCGGCUUACGGAUUGCUCGUACC
rfam:Butyricicoccus pullicaecorum 1.2 genomic scaffold acBRa-supercont1.1, whole genome shotgun sequence.